rnacentral:rRNA from 1 species
GACGAGGGGUCCAAGCGUUGUUCGGAAUCAUUGGGCGUAAAGCGGGUGUAGGCGGCUCUAUAAGUCAGGAGUGAAAGCCCCGAGCUUAACUUGGGAAGUGCUUUUGAUACUGCAGAGCUUGAAUGUGGGAGAGGGUAGUGGAAUUCCAGGUGUAGUGGUGAAAUACGUAGAUAUCUGGAGGAACACCGGUGGCGAAGGCGGCUACCUGGCCCAACAU